CAGACACAGUCAUGUCACACAUGUUGAAGAAUGUAUUUCUCUUCGCACUAUUUAUUUUUGGGUGCAUAUCAGAGGACUCAGUUGAUCAGCCAGACAAACAUUUGACUGAAACUGAAGGAAGAUCUGUGACAUUACAGUGUAAAUAUAAAACAGAUUCAGUACAAGAAAAUAUAUUCUGGUAUAUCCAGAGAGCAAACGACUUUCCUAAAUACAUCCUGAGGAGAAGCAAAUAUGGAGGAGAAAAUGGCACUGAGUUCCAGGAGAGAUUUCACUCUGAACUUUCAUCAAACUCAGUUCCUCUGAUGAUCAAGGAUUUAUCGGCAUGGAGAGAUGUAAGGCCGCUGACUAUAUGGACAUGAUGUUGCUCAGAGAGGAGGGA